rnacentral:sRNA from 1 species
GGUUACUAGAAAAAAAUGCAGUGGUGUUUACAACUGAUUGGUCACAACCAGUUACAGAUUUCUUUGUUCCGUCUCCACUCCCACUGUUUCAUUUUACUAGCCUCAA